CACGUAGGGGGCAAGCGUUGUCCGGAUUUAUUGGGCGUAAAGAGCUCGUAGGCGGUCCGGUAAGUCCGCUGUGAAAGUCGGGGGCUCAACCCUCGGAUGCCGGUGGAUACUGUCGGGCUCGAGUACGGAAGAGGCGAGUGGAAUUCCUGGUGUAGCGGUGAAAUGCGCAGAUAUCAGGAGGAACACCAAUUGCGAAGGCAGCUCGCUGGGACGUUACUGACGCUGAGACGCGAAAGCGUGGGGAGCAAACAGG
rnacentral:rRNA from 1 species